rnacentral:rRNA from 1 species
ACGCUCGACACCUACGGGAGGCAGCAGUGGGGAUAUUGCACAAUGGGGGGAACCCUGAUGCAGCGACGCCGCGUGAGGGAAGAAGGUUUUCGGAUUGUAAACCUCUGUCCUCAGGGAAGAAGAUGACGGUACCUGAGGAGGAAGCCACGGCUAACUACGUACCAGCAGCCGCGGUAAUCUGAGCGGGCUGGCAAGGC